rnacentral:rRNA from 1 species
GACUACCAGGGUAUCUAAUCCCGUUCGCUCCCCACGCUUUCGUGCCUUAGUGUCAGGGACGAGCCAGUUACCUGCCUACGCCAUCGGUAUUCCUCCUUAUAUCUACGGAUUUCACUCCUACACAAGGAAUUCUAGUAACCUCUCUCGCCCUCUAGCUCAGCAGUUUAGAUAAUGGACAUACGGUUGAGCCGCAUCAUUUCACUAUCUACUUACUAUGCCACCUACGCAACUCUUUACGCCCAGUAAUUCCGGAUAACGCUUGGAUCUUCCGUAUGACCGCGGCUGCUGGCACGGAAUUAGCCGAUCCUUAUUCAUAUGCUACCGUCAUAAUCGUCACAUAUAAAAGCAGUUUACGAACCGAAGCCCUUCAUCCUGCACGCGGCGUUGCUCCAUCAGGCUUUCGCCCAUUGUGGAAAAUUCCCUACUGCAGCCCCCCGUAGG